CAACAUACGAAAUUUGGGUCAGGUUAUUCAAAGACUUAUCAAUAUACAAAGAUAAGCGUUAUCGGGUUAUCGCGGAUUUUCUCCCGGAGGGAACGAGAUUUAGUCACGUGGCCAAAGGCUAGGUACAACGAAUAGUUCGUCUGUAACGAGAUCACAUAUUGAAGGAGCAUUCACGGUAGUUUAAAUUCAAACCGGCGCCAGUUGAACGUCUACUGAAGGAGAAUCUCGGGAAGUUAGCAGGCCAGUGUAGCUUCAACAGCUGCGGACUACAGAAAGGGUUCAAAUCUGUCUAGCGGCAAACAAGAAUUUGAUGAUGCGGAAAACCAACGGUUCCAGCAAGUGUUUCCUAUUGCCUAUAAAAGCACACUAGAAAAUCUUCAAAAAGAUCCAAUGUAUAAUAUAUUGGGUACCUCUAACAUUCCUGAGAUAGCUAAGCAUUGCAAACAAAACGCUAAGUUUGAAAAUUACAUUAAGUCAAUAAUAGAAAAGUGCUUCGAUGGAAACAAAAUCUCUUCUGCAGCAGAGAGAGAAGUUUUCUUCAUGAAAGUGCAUGCAUGCAGAAUAGAUCCUGCUGUGUCUGGGGAUGCAAUCAAAGCGCUGAACAUGUUUGGAUCAAAUGUCAGUGAUUCUGACCUAAAUGCUUUCUUUCAAGACUGUUUGAUGAACUUAAUUGGUGAAUUUUUUAAAGCAAGGCGAAAUCUUGAGAAGAAACUAUGUGAGAACAGUCACAGUUCCGUAAGUGACCAGGACAACAAAAUAUUAUUUUACAUAGCUGGAUACAUAAUUCGUGCAUUAGAAAAGAAAUAUUACAGGCUACAUGACAAACAUUUACGUGAAAAACAAAUAGAAAAUAUCAAGGGCCUUAUCAACAAUUCAAGUGAAAAAACAUUCACAGACAAAUUCACAUCGAUGUACGAAAAAAAACAACGUGGGGGUCUUAAGAAACCAUGUGACAACUUCUUCUUGCUAGUAAGAGAGUUUGAAACAGUUAUUCGCAAAGGUGAAAAUGUACAUGAAUUAUCACAGAUGGAAUCAAAAGAAAAAGUGUUAGAAUCUUUCAUGGAAGGUCAUUACAGGGAAAAGCUAUUCCCUAGUGCUGCAGAAGAGGAAGAACAAGAAACGUGCACAGACCAAUUAAUUGAAGACAUUUUACAUCUGUUUCUUACUGUUCGAGGCCAUGCAAAAGCAAAGUCUAUAGUCAACAAAGUAAAGAAGGAGCAAAAGAAUGAAAACAGGGCAAAGACAUCUUCGAGUCUGCGUGGCACAUUAAAGUGCAUUUCAAACAAAUAAACUAUAAACCCCAACAUAUAAGAAGUUAUGCAAAAUGUCACCUUGUCAUGAAAAUAAAUUAAUAACAUUGAACUGCAAUCUUAUAAGGUUGUCACAUUUUUCUUAUGACAAAAUACUUUUUAAUGCCAGACUAAAAGAUCAAAUGGUAAAAAAUAUUGACUACAUUAAAAUGUAUAAUAUUGAAAUGUUACACCUUGUUGUUUACUUAGCUUAUAAAAUAUAUCUGAAAAUACAACAAUGAAAGAAAAUUUUGA